UUCAACAGUAAGAAAGAAUGAAGUACUGAUAAAUGUUUUAACAUGGAUGAGCCUUAAAAACAUUGUGCUGAGUGGAAGAAGUCAGUCACGAAACAACAAAUUUUAUUAUUCUGUUCAUAUAAAUUGUGCAGAAUAGGCAAGCUCAUACAGACAGGAAAUAAAUUAGUAGUUGCCUAUGGCUGAGGGGGAAGGGUUAGGAGCAAUAUGAGUGGUAACUGUUAAUGGGUACAUUGUUUCAUUUGGGGGUGAUGAAAAUAUUGUAAAAUUGAUUAUGGUGAUAAUUGCACAACUAUGUAAAUAUACUAAAAACAAUUUGAUUGUACACUUUAAUGGCGUGAAC